ACUUUUGGACCGCGACGAUUGCGAGAGCAGAGGGAGCGACCGAAACAGAAAAAGCGUCGAACCACGCCGUCGCAAAAGUUCGACUGAUCUCUCGCCAAAACAAAACCUGAAAACAGACAAAAACUAUCGCACAGAUGCGCUCAAAUGUUUCAACUCUACAAUGCGUUUUAAUAAUGAUCUUUAUGCUUAUGUGGUAAGGUUGUUUAUCAUAUAAUAUAAGUAUGUAAUUAAUUUUGUUUUCUGUGUUGCGAUUUUUGUGGCUCUUCCUCCCAUGCUGGCAUUGACGGCUCCUCUCCGCUCUGCGAUUAUCCGACGAUUCCUCCUCCUCCUCCAUGAACUGCAAAACUCAACCUCAAUUCGAUUCGAUU